rnacentral:rRNA from 1 species
UACGGAAGGCAGCAGUGGGGAAUAUUGCACAAUGGGCGAAAGCCUGAUGCAGCUAUGCCGCGUGUAUGAAGAAGGCCUUAGGGUUGUAAAGUACUUUCAUCGGGGAGGAAAAACAAAACUAAUAAUUUUAUUUCUUGACGUUACCCGAAAAAGAAGCACCGGCUAACUCCGUGCCAGCAGCCGCGGUAAUACGGAGGGUGCUAGCGUUAAUCAGAAUUACUGGGCGUAAAGAGCACGUAGGUGGUUUUUUAAGUCAGAUGUGAAAUCCCUGGGCUUAACCUAGGAACUGCAUUUUGAAACUGAAAUACUAGAGUAUCGUAGAGGGAGGUAGAAUUCUAGGUGUAGCGGUGGAAAUGCGUAGAUAUCUGGAGGAAUACCUGUGGCGAAAGCGGCCUCCUAAACGAAUACUGACACUGAGAUGCGAAAGCGUGGGGAGCAAACAGGGAUUAGAUACC